CCAGCCUGCCCAGUGACAAAAUUUAACGGCCGCGGUACCCUGACCGUGCGAAGGUAGCAUAAUCACUUGUUCUUUAAAUAGGGACUAGUAUCAACGGCAUCACGAGGGUUACACUGUCUCCUUUCUCCAAUCAGUGAAACUGAUCUUCCCGUGAAGAAGCGGGAAUACACCCAUAAGACGAGAAGACCCCAUGGAGCUUUAAAUUUCACAGCAACUCAGUCACAUAAAUCCUUAUAAUUAACAGAGCUAUGCAUGCCAAUUUUAGGUUGGGGUGACCGCGGAGUAUAAGACAACCUCCACAUCGAAAAGAACUAAAUCUUUAUUUAAGAGCUACAACUCUAAAAAUUAGUAUACUAACGAAUAAUGAUCCGAUAAUCGAUCAACGGACCAAGUUACCCUGGGGAUAACAGCGCAAUCUACUUCAAGAGCCCAUAUCGACAAGUAGGCUUACGACCUCGAUGUUGGAUCAGGGUAUCCUAGUGGUGCAGCCGCUACUAAUGGUUC
rnacentral:rRNA from 1 species